UCAAGCUAAAAAGGGCGCAAGGUGAAUGCCUUGGCACUGGGAGCCGAUGAAAGACGUGGUAAGCUGCGAAAAGCUUCGGGGAGGAGCAAACAUCCAUUGAUCCGGAGAUAUCUGAAUGGGGCAACCCAAUGGAGUUCAUACUCCAUUAUCCAAUACUGAAUCCAUAGGUAUUGGAAGGGAACCGCCUGAACUGAAACAUCUAAGUAGGGCGAGGAAGAGACAUCAAACGAGAUUCCGUAAGUAGUGGCGAGCGAACGCGGAAGAGGGCAAACCGAGAGUAGAAAUACUUUCGGGGUACGGACUGCUUUUAAGACUCAAUCUGUUAACCGAACGGCAUGGGAAGGCCGGUCAGAGAGUGUGAGAACCACGUAGGUGAAAACGGAGAGAGCUGCGCAGGAUCCAGAGUACGGCCAGACACGUGAAACCUGGUCGGAAUACGGGGGGACCACCCUCCAACCCUAAAUACUACCCAGUGACCGAUAGCGUAUAGUACUGUGAAGGAAAGGUGAAAAGCACCCCGGGAGGGGAGUGAAAAAGAACCUGAAACCCUGUGCCUACAAGCACCUAGAGCGCGUCAAAGCGUGAUAGGGUACUUUUUGUAGAACGGUCCGGCGAGCGAUUGUAUGCAGCAAGGUUAAGGACUUAAGGUCUGGAGCCGAAGCGAAAGCGAGUUUGAAAAGGGCGUUAAGUUGCAUAUAAUGGGCCCGAAACCGGGUGACCUACCCAUGGUCAGGUUGAAGUGGAAGUAAAAUUCCAUGGAGGACCGAACCGACCUCCGUUGAAAAGGCGGCGGAUGAACUGUGGGUAGCGGAGAAAUUCCAAUCGAACCCGGAGAUAGCUGGUUCUCCCCGAAAUAGUUUUAGGACUAGCCUCAAGUUAGAUACCUGGAGGUAAAGCACUGAAUAGCCUAGCGGCCGAGAGGUUAGCGAAGCUUAUCAAACUCAGAAUGCCAGAGUAUUGAUGCUUGGGAGUCAGACAGUGUCAGAUAAAUGUCAUUGUCAAAAGGGAAACAGCCCAGAUCUACAGCUAAGGUCCCAAAGUCAGGUUAAGUGGAAAACGAUGUGAAGAUACGCAGACAACCAGGAUGUUGGCUCAGAAGCAGCCACUCAUUCAAAGAGUGCGUAAUAGCUCACUGGUCGAGCGUCUUUGCGCGGAGAAUUUAACGGGGCUAAACCUGACACCGAAGCUUAGGCAAUACAGAAAUGUAUUGGGUAGGGGAGCGUUGUAUACGCGGAGAAACAGUAGCGCAAGCGGCUGUGGAGUGUAUAGAAGUGAGAAUGCCGGAAUGAGUAGCGCGAAUGCAGUGAGAAUCUGCAUGGCCGAAAGCCUCAGGUUUCUGGAGGAAGGUUCGUCCGCUCCAGGUUAGUCGGGAGCUAAGGUGAGGCCGGAAGGCGUAGCCGAUGCACAGACGGUAGAGAUUCCGUCACCACCAAAAGAGUUAAGCACAGGGACACAUAUGAAGUCUCAGAGCCGGGUGUUGGUUCCGGUAGAGAUCGAGGGAAAUUAGUACCGAAGUCUGAGAUGGAAGAUGGCGAGAAAAGCUGUGUGUAUUUCUGAGGUGCCCGUACCGCAAACCGACACAGGUAGGUAGGAAGAAGAUUCUAAGGCCAACGGGAGAAGGGUUGUUAAGGAACUCGGCAAAUUGACCCCGUAACUUCGGGAGAAGGGGUGCUCCAGAGAUGGAGCCGCAGAGAAUCGGCCCAAGCAACUGUUUACCAAAAACACAGGUUUGUGCUAAAUCGAAAGAUGACGUAUACGAGCUGACGCCUGCCCGGUGCUGGAAGGUUAAGAGGAGAUGUGCAAGCAUUGAAUCGAAGCCCCAGUGAACGGCGGCCGUAACUAUAACGGUCCUAAGGUAGCGAAAUUCCUUGUCAGGUAAG
rnacentral:rRNA from 1 species